AGUCGUAACAAGGUAACCGUAGGUGAACCUGCGGUUGGAUCAUUAAGAAUGGUUUUCAAACCUUUUAUCUGUGCACUGUAUUGUUUUUGGUGACUCCUCGCUCAGCCUUUGGGAUGAGCAGGUCUGCUCUGGCUUGCCACGGACAGAAACGGUCACCGACACUUUUAAACCAUGUUUUGAAUCGAGUCUUGAAUUCGUAUUAAAAUGAAAAACUUUUGACAACGGAUCUCUUGGCUCUC
rnacentral:misc_RNA from 1 species